rnacentral:rRNA from 1 species
UACGUAGGUGGCAAGCGUUGUCCGGAAUUAUUGGGCGUAAAGCGCGCGCAGGCGGUCCUUUAAGUCUGAUGUGAAAGCCCACGGCUCAACCGUGGAGGGUCAUUGGAAACUGGAGGACUUGAGUGCAGAAGAGGAAAGUGGAAUUCCAUGUGUAGCGGUGAAAUGCGUAGAGAUGUGGAGGAACACCAGUGGCGAAGGCGACUUUCUGGUCUGUAACUGACGCUGAGGCGCGAAAGCGUGGGGAGCAAACAGG